rnacentral:rRNA from 1 species
GAGGGGUAACAGUACUUUUCGGAGUAGCUGACGACCGGCGCACGGGUGCGUAACGCGUAUGCAAUCUACCUACAGCAGAGGGAUAGCCCGUGGAAACAUGGAUUAAUACCUCAUAAUACAGGGGGCCCGCAUGGGCAUAUUGUUAAAGCUUUAUUGUGGCUGUAGAUGGGCAUGCGUCCCAUUAGCUAGUUGGUACGGUAACGGCGUACCAAGGCGAUGAUGGGUAGGGGUUCUGAGAGGAUGAUCCCCCACACUGGUACUGAGAUACGGACCAGACUCCUACGGGAGGCAGCAGUAGGGAAUAUUGGUCAAUGGACGGAAGUCUGAACCAGCCAUGCCGCGUGCAGGAAGACGGCCUUCUGGGUUGUAAACUGCUUUUAUCAGGGAAGAAUAAGCUUCUUGCGAGAGGUGAUGCCUGUACCUGGUGAAUAAGCACCGGCUAACUCCGUGCCAGCAGCCGCGGUAAUACGGAGGGUGCGAGCGUUGUCCGGAUUUAUUGGGUUUAAAGGGUGCGUAGGCGGCCUGUUAAGUCAGUGGUGAAAGGUAUCAGCUCAACUGAUGACGUGCCAUUGAAACUGGCGGGCUUGAGUACAGACGAGGUAGGCGGAAUUUAUGGUGUAGCGGUGAAAUGCAUAGAUACCAUAAAGAACACCGAUAGCGAAGGCAGCUUACUAGGCUGAGACUGACGCUGAGGCACGAAAGCGUGGGGAGCGAACAGGAUUAGAUACCCUGGUAGUCCACGCUGUAAACGAUGAUUACUGGAUGUAUGCGAUACACUGUAUGCGUCUGAGCGAAAGCGUUAAGUAAUCCACCUGGGGAGUACGACCGCA